CCCUCGGGAGCCCAGCCAGGACCGCUGGGCGGGUGAGGGCAACGGCGCCCCUGGCGGUUUCGGUACAGCCCUGCGGCCAGAGAGGCGGCCCGGUGGGUUUGGGUUCGCAGUGGAAGCUGCAGGGCUUCCUGCCCCCAGGGGUGUUCAGUCUAGCCUACCUUUGGCUGCGCCGCCAACCCCAGGCCUGGCGUCGGACAGUGGCUCCAAGUGCUGUGCGAGGGGCAGGGUCCUUAGCUCUUCAGGGCACCAGGAAGAUGGGGAGUCAUGGCCUCAGGAGUCCUGAGCUACCGCGCCAGCUGUGGGACAGGGGCCACCCUGCCAGCCUCGUUCUGUCUGUCAUGGGGACCAGUGGGGUGCAGUGGGAAGGGCAGAGUAGUCUGAGUUUUGCUGUAGUUUCAGCUCCGUGCUGGCUGUGUGCUCUGAACAAGUGUCUGGUGGUGCGCUCCGCACUGACAUCCCGUGCUGGAGAAGCGGGACAGGCGCGCCGACAGUACCAUUGGCCCCUGAGGCUCACGGCUGCCAAGUGCAGCCCUACACACCCUCUCCAAGUAGUCUUGCCGUUUGGGAGGCUCAUAUUGGGUUUGCCCACGACAGGUGUCUCCCUAAGACUUCAGAGGGUGCUGAUAUACUCCCCAAGACUACUCCAAACCUGAGGGCCAAGGGUCCAGAUUCUGUCCUGGCUCAGCUUGGUGUUGGUCGAGCUGCCUCGCUGAGGCUAGACGGUGGAACGUUUUUCUGCUUCUCUGAGGGGAGAGGUCUUAAUCUACCCCAGCACGUCUCCCUACUGAGGGGCUCCUUUGCUCUCUCCAGCUCCAGCCACAUGCAUGAAAGCAGGUCCUCAUCUGGAAGCAGCGUGCUGCCACAGCCCCAAGCCCACUGCUCCUGGGAAUGGGAUGCCAGCAGGCUGCCCGCCCUCGCCUGCCUGGAGCGCUGAGUCACCACUGAAUGUUGGGGCCGAGCAGCCCUGGGAGGCCUGUUCACUUGUCAUACUGUGGCAUGGCAGUCAGGGCCAGCUGGGGACUAGGAAGGCCCAGGAUGAUGGACCCACCCCCACCCCCCAGCACCACACACUUCUUGUCAUAGAUUUUAUUCAUUUAUUCAUGAGAGACACAGAGAGAGGGGCAGAGACACAGGCAGAGGGAGAAGCAGGCUCCAUUCCAGGACUCCGGGAUCACAACCUGAGCCGAAGGCAGAUGCUCAACCACUGAGCCACCCAGGUGCCCAAUGACAGGAGUUUUUGGUGAUACAAAAAGAUAUCGGUGUUCUGUUUACUGAAUUAAAACUUAAGAUAAAAAUUAUAAACUUGAAAAAAAUUCCAUCCUCCUUUGUUCUCCUGCUCAGGAUACUCCAGGCAAUAAGGUCAACCCUAGGGGGUUGCCCAUUUUCUCCCCAUUUGACAGAGGCUCCUCCUCUGGCUCCUGCUUCGUCCUGGCUUUUCUCUGGCUUUCCCUGAAUACCGCUCCCCGAAGUCCUUAUCGUCUUAGCCCAUUACUCCUCAUACCAAGCAGUCCUCCUCUCCCCUCACCCUGGAUGGAUGUGUGUCUAUCUCUCCCACUAGCAGGGACCCCGUCCGGUGGGUGUGCCUGACCCAUCCACGGGACCCCUGGCCCCUGGGAUGCACUUGCCUUUGUGCACAAUUGCCAGGCUGAUCUGCCCUGGGAGACCCAGUGGGUGCUCUGGAGCAACUCCUGAGUUGAGCCUCUCCAGCACCCAAAGGGGAUUCACCUGGGGCAGAGAUUCUCCAGAGCCUGUUUAGGCCUUGGUUCAUGCUGGGGACUCACUCAGAGGCACCUGAAAGCUGCACAGAGAUUGAGGGGACUUGGAGGCCAGCAUUUGUGGCU